UACGAAGGGGGCUAGCGUUGCUCGGAAUCACUGGGCGUAAAGGGUGCGUAGGCGGGUCUUUAAGUCAGGGGUGAAAUCCUGGAGCUCAACUCCAGAACUGCCUUUGAUACUGAAGAUCUUGAGUCCGGGAGAGGUGAGUGGAACUGCGAGUGUAGAGGUGAAAUUCGUAGAUAUUCGGAAGAACACCAGUGGCGAAGGCGACUCACUGGACAUGUAUUGACGCUGAGGUGCGAAAGCGUGGGGAGCAAACAGG
rnacentral:rRNA from 1 species